rnacentral:lncRNA from 10 species
UGCUCAAUCGAUCACGACCCUCUCACGAGCACCCUCUUAAAAGGGACAGGAAUUGCUCACUCGGGGGACUCUGCUCUUGAGACAGGAGUCUUGCCGAUGCCCCCGGCCAAAUAAACCCCUUCCUUCUUUAACUCGGUGUCUGAGGAGUUUUGUCUCUGCAGCUCAGGCUUGCAAAGCCUGGAAAUACAAGUUGCCUGGGGAAAGUGACCCCUCCAAGGCAGAAACCAAACUUGGCCCAGAUGCUGUACCAAGGCUAGGACUUGGCCCAGAUGCUGUACCAAAGCUAGGUGGCUCCCCAAACCUUCCUACAGCUCUGUAAACAGCAAUUUUUUUUUUUUUUUUUGAGACAAGGUCUCACUGUCACCCAGGCUGGAGUGCAGUCACGGCUCACUGCGGCCCCAAUUUCCCCAGGAAACUGGGGUGAUCCUCCCACCUCAACCUUUGGAGUAACUGGGACCACAGAUGCACACCACCACGCCCAGCUAAUUUUUGUAUUUUUUGUAGAAGUAGGGUUUUUGCCAUGUUUCCCAGGCUGGUCUCGAACUCCUGGGCUCAAGCAAUCUGCCCGCCUCAGCCUCCCAAAGUGCAACAGCACUUUUAUCAAACUCUCCUCAAAUACCCAGUUUGUUAAGAAUGACUGUGUUCUGCUGGGACCUUGGUUACAGUUUGUAGGUGAGAACUCUGCAUCAGGCUGGUGGAGCAAAGCAACACCCACUGAUGCUUGUAAAGCCCAGGGUGAGAGUAACCAGGUGAGAAUGAGGCCAUCAGCCCAGCCCCAGGACUGACUGCAGGACCAGAUCGGUGAGUUCUACAGUGGAACGCUUGCUCAAGGAUCCUUGCCAUUCUUCUUCAUUCAGCACCUGGUCCCCUUUCCUCCACAUCAGAGGAGGAACACGCUAGAUAUUAUCUUUUUCAGAUUCCUUUGCCCCAGGGCAAGAGCUUUUGCCCAGCCCCAACCAAUCAGAUGUAGCCUCCCUGGAGUCAGUCAGGGGUACUGGCCACCAGCUUUGAUGGAGGGCUGCAGCAGUCCUGGCAGAAACAUGAGUCUGCACCUGUGGGGAGGGCUGUGUGAGUCACAAAGGCCCCUGCUUCCCCCUCGUGGCAGGAGCAGUGGCAUGCUCACCAGGCCAAAGUAGCACUGUGGUUUGGGCUGGAGACGAUACUGCUUCGACUUGGAACCUUUCUUUCCAGCCGCCUUGUUGGCUCUGAGGGCUCCACAGUUGCUUUUCAUAAAUUGGGUUUCUGAUUAAGUUGGGCAGAGUCAGUUUCCUCCAACUGACAGAGAAGUUCUCACCAGGGCCGGGCACCGUGGUGACUCAUGCCUGUAAUACCAGCACUUUGGGAGGCAGAGGUAGGCAGAUACCUCUUGAGCGCGGAGUUUGAGACUAGCCUGGGCAACAUGACAAAACCCCGUCUCUACAAAAAAUACAAAAAUUAGCUGGGCAUGGUGAUGCGUGCCUGUAUUCCCAGCUACAAGGGAGGAUUGCUUGAGCCCAGGAGGCAGAGGUUACAGUGAGCUAAGAUUGCACUACUGCACUCCAGACUGGGCAACAGAGCAAGACUCUGUCUCAAAAAAAAAAAACCUAAAAAAAAAAAGAAAACAUCUGGACAAGGUGGCUCAAGCCUGUAAUCCCAGCACUUUGGGAGGCCGAGGCGGGUGGAUAACCUGAGGUCAGGAGUUCAAGACUAGCCUGGCCAACAUGGCGAAACUCCAUCUCUACUAAACAUACAAAAAAAAUUAGCCAGGCGUGGUGGCGUGCACCUAUAAUCCCAGCUGCUCAGGAGGCUGAGGUGGGAGAAUCACUUGAACCAAGGAGGCGGAGGUUGCAGUGAGCCGAGAUCGCACCACUGCACUCCAGCCUGGGUAACAGAGCGAGACUGCUUCAAAAAAAAAAAAAAAAAAAGAGAAAACUAGGCUGGGCGUUGUGACUCACGCCUGUAAUCCCAGCACUUUGGGGGGCUGAAACGGACAGAUCACUUGAGGUCAGGAGUUCCAGACCAGUCUAGCCAACAUGGCGAAACCCCGUCUCUACUAAAAAUACAAAAAUUAGCUGGGUGUGGUGGUGCAUGCCUGUAAUCCCAGCUACUGGGGAGGCUGAGGCAUGAGAAUCACCUGAAUCUGGGAGGUGGAGGUUGCAGUGAGCCAAGAUCGUGCCACUGCACUCCAGCCUGGGUAACAGAGUAAGACUCUGUCAAAAAAUAAAAAAAUAAAAAAAGGGGAGACAGAGAGAAAGAGAGAAAUAAAAAAUAAAUAAUUUUUUUUAAAAAAUUAGUCCCCAUCAGGAAUGGUAGCAGAUGCCCAGGGAAAUGGGGGUGUCCGACUUGUCAUCUGCCUGGUUGGAGCUAAAAGCAGUGGAAGUCCAGGCCUGAGGAAGGAAAGGGCUCUGGCAACUUGUGGCAGGCAGAGGAGACCGAGCUGGUAAAGUCACUGCUGGUGGUGUUGCAUGAUAAAAAACUAAAUAUUUAGUUUUAGUUCUCCAUUCCUCACACAGAACUCCUUAACCCCUUAGAAUUUACCAUCCUUCUGAUGCAAAUGAGAUGACUCCUAGCAGAGGGCCACUAGAUAGCUUCACGAUAUUGGCCUGAAAGACCAAAUAAGUUGCCAGGCCCAGUGGCUCACGCCUGUAAUCCCAGCACUUUGGGAGGCAGAGGCAGGCGGGUCACCUGAGGUUGGCAGUUCAAGACAAGCCAUGGAGAAAUCCUAUCUCUACUAAAAAUGCAAAAAAUUAGCCAGGCGUGGAGGUGCAUGCCUGUAAUCCCAGCUACUCCGGAGGCUGAGGCAGGAGAAUCACCUGAACCCGGGAGGCGGAGGUUGCGGUGAGGCAAGAUCGCACCAUUGCACUCCAGCCUGGGCAACAAGAGUGAAACUCUGUCUCCAAAAAAAAAAAAAAAAAGAAAAGAAAAGAAAAGAAAAGAAAGAGAAAGACCAAAUAAGGAUAAGAGUUUUGGAACUUUGAGUCACAUCUCCCAAACUCUGGGGAACGGAGGGAGGCUAGAGAUUGAGUUCAAUCACCAAUAGCCAAUGAUUUAAUCAACCAUGCCUUUGUAAUGAAACCUCCAUAAAAAUCAUUAAAUAGUGGGGUUUGGGAGCUUCUGGGUUGGAGAACACAUUGAGGUGCAGGGAAGAUUGGUGUGCUCGGAGACGACAUGGAAGCUCUGUGCCCCCUCCCCUCAUACCUUGCCCUGUGCAUAGCUUCAUUUGGCUUGUUAAAAGAGAAAAUUACAAUGAGUGGUGGUUGCUUCUAAUGGCACCAAACAGCUUAAAGAAAGAGAAUGGCAUGAUGAGGUCAAGUUGUUAGCUGCUUGCAACAAGGCACAAACUGAAAACUUUUUCAACUCUGCUAAAAUGAGCCUCUUGCAGCCAUGGGGCUGAGAUGGCUCAAUAUCUAACCCAAGGGCUGAUUCUGUGUGUUCCAGAUUAAAAUACUGGUUGAAUCACAGCCUCACUCAGUCUUUUUCUUUUUUUUUGUUUUUUGUUUUUUGUUUUUUGUUUUUUGAGACGGAGUCUCACUCUGUCG